UACGGAGGGGACUAGCGUUGUUCGGAAUUACUGGGCGUAAAGCGCACGUAGGCGGAUCGUUAAGUCGGGGGUGAAAUCCUGGAGCUCAACUCCAGAACUGCCUUCGAUACUGGCGAUCUAGAGUCCGGAAGAGGUGAGUGGAACUCCUAGUGUAGAGGUGGAAUUCGUAGAUAUUAGGAAGAACACCAGUGGCGAAGGCGGCUCACUGGUCCGGUACUGACGCUGAGGUGCGAAAGCGUGGGGAGCAAACAGG
rnacentral:rRNA from 1 species